AUUGAACGCUGGCGGCAGGCCUAACACAUGCAAGUCGGUCGAGCGGCGGACGGGUGAGUAAUGUAUGGGGAUCUGCCUGAUGGCGGGGGAUAACUACUGGAAACGGUAGCUAAUACCGCAUACCAUCAGAUGAACCCAUAUGGGAUUAGCUAGUAGGUAAGGUAACGGCUCACCUAGGCGACGAUCCCUAGCUGGUCUGCGAGGAUGACCAGCCACACUGGAACUGAGACACGGCCCAGACUCCUACGGGAGGCAGCAGUGGGGAAUAUUGCACAAGGGGAGAAAGCCUGAUGCAGCCAUGCCGCGUGUAUGAAGAAGGCCUUCGGGUUGUAAAGUACUGUCAGUCGGGAGGCGUUACCGACAGAAGAAGCACCGGCUAACUCCGUGCCAGCAGCCGCGGUAAUAC
rnacentral:rRNA from 1 species